AUUGAACGCUGGCGGCAUGCUUAACACAUGCACGUCGAACGAGUCGCGGACGGGUGAGUAAUGCUUGUGAACCUAGCUUAUGGAGGGGGAUAACUCCGGGAAACUGUAGCUAAUCCCGCUUACCAUAUGAUGAUCCCAAGUGGGAUUAGGUAGUUGGUGAGGUAAAGGCUCACCAAGCCGACGAUCUAUAGCUGGUCUGAGAGGAUGACCAGCCAAACUGGGACUGAGACACGGCCCAGACUCCUACGGGAGGCAGCAGUGGGGAAUAUUGCGCAAUGGGGGAAACCUGACGCAGCCAUGCGGCGUGAAUGAAGAAGGCCUUCGGGUUGUAAAGUUCUUUCGGUAGCGAGGCGUUAACUACAGAAGAAGCACCGGCUAACUCCGUGCCAGCAGCCGCGGUAAUAC
rnacentral:rRNA from 1 species